AAGUCGCUGCGGGGUUUCUGUUAUUGGCAGACUCUAACCUCUAGGGGGAGCUCAAGGAGAGGAGGACUGAAUAAGGGUCAAGUCUAAGGCUACAUUGGGUCGUGGUAGUAGUAGACUGAGUUUUUGGUGAAUUAGCAGGGAAUUAGAAGGAAUUAGCCUCCACUAGGCUGAAUCGUUAAUUCUUUUGAAAUCUCGCCUUUUUAAAAAUUUCACAUGACAGAGAGCAGAUCCAGGCUUGACUCUUACUUGGAAAAACUGCCCUAACCUGAAAAAACAGUAGGGUAGAAUUCAAGGUUUAAAAAUAAUGGCCAAAAGACUGUAUUUCACUCAAGAUUGCUACAGGCCAUGGACUGUCCUAUAAGUGGAGACUGAGUCAUUUUUUUUUAACAACUUGACAGUGAAGCUUACAUCAGAAAAUAGCCUAGAAAGGCUGAAGUCAUGAAGAGCAGGAAAGAAUAAAGCAAGAAGAAAAGGUCACCAUAGGAUCAGGCUGUAUGUUUAAAUACUGAAAAGACAAGUGCUGUACCCGUGGCAUAUAGAGGUUCCCA